rnacentral:tRNA from 1 species
GGUCGAUUAGCUCAGUUGGUAGAGCAUGCGACUCUUAAUCGUAGGGUCCAGGGUUCGAGCCCCUGAUCGACCACCA